UUGCCUAUGAAAAAAGAUACUUGAUUCGAAAAUACCAUCUUUCGGGACUGAUUGGUCCUUGUAGCCAUGAUGUUAUUUUGCAAUUCAGAGGCAU